rnacentral:rRNA from 1 species
AUGCAACCGGAACAAAAGAAAGCUAGGAUAGAAAAAAUUAAAGCUAAUCGUGAAUUGAAGCGCAACAUGCCAAGUAAAGAUUCAAUUGCGAUGGAGAACCCUGCAUAUAUUGCAACCGAGCAGGAAGUUAGUACAUCUCCCUGUACUGUAAAACAUGGAAAGCAUGUGACAGCGGGUGAAAGACAAACGCUGCUACACCGUCAUAACGAAGAAUUCGCAGCAAGACAGAUGAAAUCAUCACAAGAAGAUAGAUCCAUGUCGGAAAAUGACAACGAUGACAACGAACCUCCCGAACAACCAGAAGUCACGAUUAAUGGUAAAAAUCUAAAAUUUAUACAAUACUCUCGCAUUCCAAAAAUAUAUGAAACCGCAUAUGUAACUAACCAUCUUUUGUGGACAGACAUCCCCCUCUCUAUAAUGUUUCCAUCCAUUAAAGAAGCGGAUGCCCAAACACAAACAGCCUACAACGACGAUCACAGUAAGGUGGCUUUUUGGCCAGGCAUCCCCACUUCAAUGUGUCCAACAAUCAAAGAAGUAAAUGCACGAAUACAAUCAUUCUACAAUAAUGGUCACGGUAAGGUUAUCAAUUUCAUAUUUACUUUUAUGCAAUACAAAAAUUAUAUAUUAAAAAAUUACUAA